rnacentral:rRNA from 1 species
AUUGAACGCUGGCGGCAUGCCUUACACAUGCAAGUCGAACGGUAACAGGUCUUCGGAUGCUGACGAGCGGCGAACGGGUGAGUAAUACAUCGGAACGUGCCUAGUAGUGGGGGAUAACUACUCGAAAGAGUGGCUAAUACCGCAUGAGAUCUACGGAUGAAAGCAGGGGAUUGCAAGACCUUGUGCUACUAGAGCGGCCGAAGGCAGAUUAGGUAGUUGGUGGGAUAAAAGCUUACCAAGCCGACGAUCUGUAGCUGGUCUGAGAGGACGAUCAGCCACACUGGGACUGAGACACGGCCCAGACUCCUACGGGAGGCAGCAGUGGGGAAUUUUGGACAAUGGGCGAAAGCCUGAUCCAGCAAUGCCGCGUGCAGGAUGAAGGCCUUCGGGUUGUAAACUGCUUUUGUACGGAACGAAAAGCUCUGGGUUAAUACCCUGGGGUCAUGACGGUACCGUAAGAAUAAGCACCGGCUAACUACGUGCCAGCAGCCGCAGUAACAC